rnacentral:sRNA from 1 species
UGUACCUUUAAAUUAGUCCCGUGAGACUAAGAAGGGAAUUGUGAACCAUGAGUUAAACAUGGGUACCUCUUUCUUGCUCGCGGGCAGGGAAGAGGUUUUUAGU